rnacentral:rRNA from 1 species
UACGUAGGGUGCGAGCGUUGUCCGGAAUUAUUGGGCGUAAAGAGCUCGUAGGCGGUUUGUUGCGUCGGCUGUGAAAACCUGCGGCUUAACUGUGGGCUUGCAGGCGAUACGGGCAGACUUGAGUGUUUCAGGGGAGACUGGAAUUCCUGGUGUAGCGGUGAAAUGCGCAGAUAAUCAGGAGGAACACCGGUGGCGAAGGCGGGUCUCUGGGCAGUAACUGACGCUGAGGAGCGAAAGCGUGGGGAGCGAACAGG